UACGUAGGGGGCAAGCGUUGUCCGGAUUUAUUGGGCGUAAAGAGCGUGUAGGCGGUCAGGUAGGUCUGCUGUGAAAACUCGAGGCUUAACCUCGAGCUGUCGGCGGAAACCAUCUGGCUAGAGUCCGGAAGAGGAGAAUGGAAUUCCCGGUGUAGCGGUGAAAUGCGCAGAUAUCGGGAAGAACACCCGUGGCGAAGGCGGUUCUCUGGGACGGUACUGACGCUGAGACACGAAAGCGUGGGGAGCGAACAGG
rnacentral:rRNA from 1 species